rnacentral:misc_RNA from 1 species
GAAUUGCGAAAAGUAAUGUGAAUUGCAGAAUUCCGUGAAUCAUCGAAUCUUUGAACGCACAUUGCGCUCUCUGGCCCUCCAGAGAGCAUGCCUGUUUGAGUAUCAGUAACUACCUCACCACCCGUAAUGGGUGGUGGACUUGAGCGAUUCCAGCGGGGGCGAUGCAUUUCGACCCGAAUGCGCUGGUCGUUUGAAAUAGAGCGCGUGUUGUGUUUGUCACUGCUCUCGGCAAAGGCGUACCAGUUCUCCUCGGAGAUCCACUUGCGCCGGUGAUUUGCUGUUGAGCCUUUGUGCUGACUGACGACCGCGUCGUUAUCUAUCCAAGGUGCUGCGCAGUGUGCAAUGCAACUUGAUCUUGAUCUCAAAUCAGGCAAGACUACCCGCUGAAUUUAA